rnacentral:misc_RNA from 1 species
CGCACCUUGCGCUCCUUGGUAUUCCGAGGAGCAUGCCUGUUUGAGUGUCAUUAAAUUAUCAACCUUUUUGGCUAUUUUCAUUAGCUGAUCAGGCUUGGAUGUGGGGGUUGCGGGCUUCUCAGAAGUCGGCUCUUCUUAAAUGCAUUAGUGAAACCUUUUGUUGAUUCUCGCUCUGGUGUGAUAGUUUAUCUACGCCAUUGCCAAGUCGGCGCCUUUUUAAAUGAAGGGGUUUUGCUCUCUAAAUGUCUCUAUGGGACAACUUCUUGACAUUUGACCUCAAAUCAGGUAGGACUACCCGCUGAACUUAA